GACGAACGCUGGCGGCGUGCUUAACACAUGCAAGUCGAACGGAAAGGCCCUGCUUGCAGGGUACUCGAGUGGCGAACGGGUGAGUAACACGUGGGUGAUCUGCCCUGCACUUCGGGAUAAGCCUGGGAAACUGGGUCUAAUACCGGAUAGGAGCCAUUUUUAGUGUGAUGGUUGGAAAGUUUUUUCGGUGUAGGGUGAGCUCGCGGCCUAUCAGCUUGUUGGUGGGGUAAUGGCCUACCAAGGCGGCGACGGGUAGCCGGCCUGAGAGGGUGGACGGCCACAUUGGGACUGAGAUACGGCCCAGACUCCUACGGGAGGCAGCAGUGGGGAAUAUUGCACAAUGGGCGCAAGCCUGAUGCAGCGACGCCGCGUGGGGGAUGACGGCCUUCGGGUUGUAAACUCCUUUCGCUAGGGACGAAGCUUUUUGUGACGGUACCUAGAGAAGAAGCACCGGCUAACUACGUG
rnacentral:rRNA from 1 species